UACCACUCAAUCUAUUUCACAUCUUAGAACCACGGCCCACAAUAUUUCUUCAUACUGCCAAUCCAAUUCAUAUCACAAACCACGAUACCAUUUGCUCUAUUUCACAAUCACAAGGCACAAAGCAAUUUCCUCCUCUGCACAAACCACAAACCGCAACUUCCUUUCUGCUCUGCACAAACAACUCCCGGGACAGCAGCUUCAGCACCGCACCAAUGCAGCCAAUCAAAAUUCAAUACCAACUCAACACUCAACCGACCUCUACAUUCAAACAUCCUCAAAAUCACGGCACCAUUCCUCUUCCUUUUCAUUUCUGCACCGCAAACCACUGCAUUUCAUUUUCAUCGUGAAGCAUCCAAGAGCAAGGGAGGGAACGCGAGCUGCAAUCUUCUUUUCGUUUUGUUCUGACCGUAAGUUGGAGGAAAGACAGAGAGAAACCGUGAGCAAAACUCCACACGUCCUGCACCUCCAUUUGCACCCAGCUUCACGACUGCAACCUCAACCAAGCUGCACUUCACCUCCCAGCCGCAACUCAUCAAACCAGAAUCACCAACUGCACUUGGCCGAGAGCUAGAGAGGAAAUUUGUGGAGUUUCGUGUGAAGGAGUAGUUGCUAACUGAGGGUAUAGCGAGGACGUGGAAUUUUGAAUCCCAGCUUGAACUCUGAACUUCACUUUUGGGUUCUGGAAACUAAAAGCUGGAUGCUUACUUAUGUUUUUCUUUUGGAUUGUAUUUGAGUACUAUAACUUAUUCUGUGGGCUGUAAUGUGUUAUUUGGGAUAAUGUAUUUUCCUUUUUGGGUUGCCACUUGAAGCUGGAAAAUGUGUAAACCCUAAUUUGAUUCUUGGUUGGUAAGCUUGUAUUAGGGAUUUAUGUAUUUAUCGAUCUGGUUGGGUAGGACUUAGACUUCGGUACGUAGCUCGUAGGUCGUUUAAGGGCCUCGACUGGCUAAUUUAUCAUUGCUAUCUCUGAAGUUAAUGUGGAUUUAAGGAUGAUCCUAUUUGGGAAAAGUUGUUUUGUAAUAGAUUAGUUUAUUCUUCGAAAGGUUUGGGGUUAGAAUGCUUGCGCGAGUCCUGGCGAGAGUUGGGCAGACGGCCCGCCAACCCUUUGGUUCGCCUCAGGGGGAAGUGGGGUCGUCACAAUUUUUAGACUAAUUUCUUGAUUCAAA